GCUACGUUGGUUUAGCGGUAAGAGUUUCCUCCAAGAAUGCGGGUGGUCUUGGGUUCGAACCCCAGCCGAGUAAUA